UUUUGUUUUUAUAAAGGAGAUUUGCCCUCCCCCCUGAAAAUUUUGAAGGGCGCCAGUAUUUAGAUUGUGCAAAGGGAGCAUAUUCUUUAUUCUUUUAAUUGAGGGCUGGAAGGAAGGGUUGGACGGGGGAAAAUCUUUUUCUUUUUAAUUAAUUGAUUUAAAAUUUUAAGUAAAAAUGCUUAAAUUUUUUUAAGGGGCGGAGCCCCUCUAGAUUUUAUUGAUAGUUAUUUUUAUUUAAGUUUUUAAAAAUAAAUUUUUUAUUUUUUUAAAUUUAUUUAAGGGGUGAUUAAUAAUAUAAAAAAUUUCUCUUUUUUUGAAUUAUCUAAAAAGUUUAUUGAUCCAUUCUUAAUGAUUAUAAGAUUAAAUUACCUUAGGGAUAACAGCAUAAUUAUUUUUGAGAGUUCUUAUCGAAAGAAUGGAUUGUGACCUCGAUGUUGGAUUAAGAUAUAAAUUGGGUGUAG
rnacentral:rRNA from 1 species